GCUAAUAUUCUACGCCCCUCUUAAUCUAAUGAACCUUAAAAAUUAAGCAUAAAAAUCAAAACAUUUUCACAUCUUAGUAAAGGCGAUCGAAAAAUUUUUAGGAGCCAUAUUAAUAGUACCGCAAGGGAAAGAUGAAAUAAAAAUGAAAUAAAUAUUAAGCAGAAAAAAGUAGAGAUUUAACCUCGUACCUUUUGCAUCAUGGUUUAACUAGUCAAAUUAAGCAAAACGACUUACAGUUUAACCCCCCGAAACUAAGCGAGCUACCCCAGGGCAGCUUAUUGAGCAAACCCGUCUCUGUCGCAAAAGAGUGGGAAGACCUUUGGGUAGAGGUGACAGACCUAACGAGCUUAGUGAUAGCUGGUUACUCAAGAAAAGGAUUUUAGUCCAACCUAAAGUCUUAUCAUUAACUAUAAAUAAUAAAAAUACUUUAGAGCAAUUCAAAUAAGGUACAGCCUAUUUGAAACAGGAUACAACCUUUAACGUCGGGUAAUAAUUUGUUAUAAUAAUAAAGUAGGCUUAAAAGCAGCCACCUUUCAAAUAGCGUCAAAGCUUCAUUAUACUUUUAAUUAAUUCCCCUAAUAAUCUAGAACCCUCCACCACUACUGAGUACUUCUAUAUUUCUAUAGAAUAUUUUAUGUUAAAACUAGUAACAAGAAGUAAAACUUCACUUAAAUGCAAGUGUAAAUCAGGAAGGAUACACCACUGACUAUUAACACCCGUGCAAACAAAUUAAUAACCCCACAAGAAAAACUUAAUUUACCCUGUGUUAACCUAACACAAGAGCAUUUCAAGUAAGAUUAAAAGAAAAGGAAGGAACUCGGCAAAUAUUAACCUCGCCUGUUUACCAAAAACAUCGCCUCUUGAUUUAAUAUAAGAGGUCCAGCCUGCCCAGUGACUCUGUUCAACGGCCGCGGUAUCCUAACCGUGCGAAGGUAGCGUAAUCACUUGUUCUUUAAAUGAGGACUAGUAUGAAUGGCACCACGAAGGUUACACUGUCUCCCUUUUCUAAUCAGUGAAACUAAUCUCCCCGUGAAGAAGCGGGGAUAAACAUAUAAGACGAGAAGACCCUAUGGAGCUUUAAACUUAAUAACAUUUCCUUAAAACACUCACUCUUCAGAGUACUCACAUUUACUUCGGCUUUCUGAUUAUUAGUUUUAGGUUGGGGUGACCGCGGAGCAAAAAAUAACCUCCACAUUGAAUGGGGAACUCCCCUGAGACACGAGCUACAACUCUACACACCAAUAAAUUGACAUCAAUUGACCCAAUAUAUUGAUCAACGAACCAAGUUACCCUAGGGAUAACAGCGCAAUCCGCUUCAAGAGCUCCUAUCGACAGGCGGGUUUACGACCUCGAUGUUGGAUCAGGGUAUCCCAGUGGUGCAGCCGCUACUAAAGGUUCGUUUGUUCAACGAUUAAAACCCUACGUGAUCUGAGUUCAGACCGGAGUAAUCCAGGUCAGUUUCUAUCUAUAAGGGGCUUUUUCUAGUACGAAAGGACCGAAAAAACAUGGCCCAUGCAUAAUACAAGCCAUACUAAAUAAUUUAUGAUUAAAACUCAAUAAAUACUUAACCCACCCCCUAACUCUAAACAAGAGU
rnacentral:rRNA from 1 species